ensembl:processed_transcript D030025E07Rik RIKEN cDNA D030025E07 gene
UGCUCAUUAGAAGUCCAAGUGAUUCCCACCACGCUUUGAGGGAGAGCUCGGAUUCCUUACCCAGAGGCUGAGCAGAGCUCAUCCCCUCCUGGAGAAACGGAGAUAGCUCACCUUCUCCACACUCAAAAGAGCUGAGUGAAGUUUCAUGACAUUUCCUAGGAAGCCAAACUUAGUGGAACUUUAGAUGUGCCUGGGAACAGUGUCUUCAUGCAAGAUCUUCCCUGCUGAGGACUCUUGACGCUGCAGAAGCAGGUAGACGCAGCUGUGCUUAGAAGGCAACAAGAUCUCCAGACAACAGACCCAGUGACAUCUCCAGGUGAUCUGAUUUCCUAUAGUGGGUCCCCAGUGGUGGCAUCUUAAAUGGCAUCAGGGAUGUAUCAAAAUCUUCAAAAAACAAAGCCAAGGCAGAAAGUUUCCGGAGAUGUGAGGAAGCACCCUUCCAAUGGUGAUGAAAGGGAGUGGAAAGGGUGAGAAGAAGAUGAUGUCAGAAGCAAGCAGCCUGGAGUACCGUCACUUUUCUGUGGCCAGUCUAUUCUCUUCAAACCUAUCUUAUACAUUGGCUUUGGUUACUGGAGGGCAAAAAAAGGAUCAACCAUUCUAUUUGUUGGGGGGUUAUUUUUCUCUUCACAAUCAUUAGCAUAGCUGAACA